CCUACGGGGCGCAGCAGUGAGGAAUAUUGGUCAAUGGACGCAAGUCUGAACCAGCCAAGUAGCGUGCAGGAUGACGGCCCUCCGGGUUGUAACCUGCUUUUAGUUGGGAAUAAAAGGGGGCUCGUGAGCCCCGUUUUGUAUUUACCAUCAGAAAAAGGACCGGCUAAUUCCGUGCCAGCAGCCGCGGUACUACGGAAGGUCCGGGCGUUAUCCGGAGUUAUUGGGUUUAAAGGGAGCGUAGGCCGGCUUUUAAGUCAGCUGUGAAAGUCCGCGGGUUAACCGUGGAAUUGCAGUUGAAACUGGAGGCCUUGAGUGCACACAGGGAUUGCGGAAUUCACGGUGUAGCGGUGAAAUGCUUAGAUAUCAUGAAGAACUCCGAGUGCGAAGGAAAGUUUCCGUGGUGCAACUGACGCUGAGGCUCGAAAGUGCGGGUAUCAAACAGGAUUAGAUACCCGUGUAGUC
rnacentral:rRNA from 1 species